UAUCAAGCCAUUGUGUGAUCUUCUUAUUUGUCCGGAUCCUAGAAUUGUUAUAGUUUGCCUGGAAGGGCUAGAGAAUAUAUUGAAAAUUGGAGAAGCUGAGAAGAACCUGGGUGUCACCGGGGGUGUGAAUCCUUACGCCCAAAUGAUUGAUGAUGCCGAAGGUCUUGAGAAGAUUGAAAAUCUGCAGAGCCACGACAACACGGAGAUAUAUGAGAAGGCUGUCAAGAUUCUGGAGACGUAUUGGCUGGAGGAGGAAGAUGAGAUGCCCUUGGGUGAUGCUGCUCCUGCUACAUUUGGUUUUGGCAGUGAGCAGCCUCCUGUUCCCUCUGGUGGAUUCAACUUCGGCUGAAGGCAUUUCUUCAAAAGGUGUUGCACCAAGAGUGGUGAAUGGGUCGGUUGGUCGGUCGGUCUGAGUCAGUCCUUAUCGCGUCGUCGUUUAGCGGUCUUAAGGCAGACAACUGGUUCAGUUUAAAUGUCAGAGGGUCGAGAUGCUUUCCCAUUUAGACAUGGCUGUAUGUUUUCUGCACGUACUUAGUGUGAAGUGUAAUGGUUUGUAUAGCACAAGUCGGAGCAGUUUUUUGUGAGGUCUCGGUGGACUUGGCUCAUGGGGUUUUCAUCAGACUUUAUCUUUUGUCUGAAAAGGAUGCAUGUUAUUG
rnacentral:misc_RNA from 1 species